AUUAAAUUUCAUUAUUUUAUGCGCGCUAAACUUUGGCGCUCUGUUGUUUGCGACAGGAAUAAGUUCCGUCGCACACACCUCUGUUGUGAAUAAGUAGAAGAAAAAAAAACACAACUGCACGCUCUCAUCUCCUUCUCGCUCUCCGCCUCUCUCGUUCUCGUUCUCCGCCUAUCUCCCUCUCUUCAAAGCAUAGAUCCUUCUUUGCCACUCUUGCCACAACCACUGAUGCUGAGACACAAUUGAACCAGGUAAGGAUUUAUGUUUCUUGUUCCUCUCUUAAAUCUCCCCUUUCCCUAACCCUAAUAUUUUUUGUCAUCUCUUAGUUUUUUCUUUUUGCCGCUAGAAAUUCGAAUUCAACCUCAUCCCUUCUGAUUCGGUAAUAUUAUUUGAGGAAUUAUCUUCUAAUUUGUUUUUUCUUGGUGUUGUUUCGUCAUUUUUUUUCCGCAAAUUCCAGUCUUAUCUAUUCUCCAUUAGUUCUCCCAUUGUUUAGGGUUUCUUUUUGUUAUUUCUAUGUUCAAUUUCAUCACUAAUUGCUUAUAUUGUUGGAGGAUUUUUUGUAAUUGGAGCUAGUCAAAGAAGUAUGCUGGCUUGGUUUUGUUUAUUUAUUCUUUAUUGGCACUGGUGACUCGGUCAGCAAGAGAAGCAGAAAUUUGGUGGUGGAUUAAUUGGAGAAGGAUGAGGAAGAAAGCAUUGAUGAAUGCAGAGAUAAUGGCGGUGCUUUUGUGAAGAAGCACGGGGUGGUCAGAAAAAGGUGAGAUUUGUAGGGGAAAAGGGAAGAACUGUUUGGAAAGGAAUGGUGAAUGAUGAGUAGAAAUCAGAGCAAGGCGGAGGAGAAAAUGGAAAGCGAGCCUCUAAGAAAAGUGAGAAUGGGGUGUAGUUUAAAGGUAGAAGAUGAAGUGAGGCAUUUUGAUGACAUCGAUACAGAGAAAGGUUUGCGAAGAAGCAAGAAAGUGGGUUAUUUUCUUGGGGCCAUAAAGGAUCAUACGAAGCAGGAAGAAAGAAAUGUAAAUAAGCAGUCCAAGAAAGUAAGUAAUUUGUAAAUUCUAUGUUUAUGUCAUUUGUUGUCAAUGUUGUGAUUUACUCGUUUAUGUUAAUAAGUUACAACUUAAGUUAGCAUCUGAAAGAUUACCCAACUGUUUGAACAAUCUCUAAUUGAAAUGUAAUGCUUUAUUUUACAAGUGCUAUUUUUUCAUGAACCUAUUAUAUGUAAAAACAUCCCUGGAAUAGUUCCUGGUAAUGGCUCGAAGUCAUUUCUAAUCUUGAAUGUAAGUAAAAUGAUGUGGGAAGUGCUCAAUACGUGUCCAAUUUACAGGUUGGAAGAAAGCCAUAUGUAUUCCUAGGCAUGCCUUUGGCGAUCAGUAUCGAGCCUGAUACAGUUGUCAAAGGGCCAUGAAAACUUGAAAUGGUUUUUAGUAAGUUAAUCUCAACAUUCUAGAUCAUAUGAUUGUGCUGGUGAAGUAAUUUCCCCUUGAAUAUGGUUUUCUGCUUCGCAUCUAUCUGUUUGUAAUGCUAAGUCCCAGAAGGAGUCUCCCCUGUUGCACUUGAUGUCUACAAUUUCAAGGGGCCUGGUGUGGCCCUUUCUGUGUAUAAAUGCUGAUGAGGUUUGUGUUACCACAGUGGGCAUCGCAUACCUUUUUGUUCAUUUAGGCAAAUGUGCCGAUAAACUUUACUAACAAAACCUUGGUUUUUUGGUAGGCUAUUCCAGAGUUUGCCGACUUGUCAAUGUCGUUGGCUCUUUCCAAGAAGUGGCCACUAUACUUAAGCACCAAAAACACUAUUAUGAAGAAAUAGUGAAGUACGAUGGCAGGUUUAAGGACAUAUUUGAGGAGGUUUAGGACGAGAGGUGGAAGCAUAAGUUUGAAGACAAUUCUACAUGGUUUGUAUUAUCAUGAGGACCUUGACGUUGGAAUAUAGAACCUAUUAACGUUUUGAUCAUGUAUAUAUGUUUCAUUACUGUAAGUGAAAUACAUUCUUUGAUAUCAAAGUGUUUCUCAUUUUGUGAAUUAUGAAUUUUAUCAGUUUGGAUUUUAUUUUAGUUUGAAAUAUGUAGUAACAUUUCACAUGAAACAAUAAUGUGAUUGUGGCGUCCCAUUUGACGCCUAAUAUUUUUUUUUA